UCAGGCCUAACACAUGCAAGUCGAGCGAGAAAGCACCUUCGGGUGUGAGUAGAGCGGCGGACGGGUGAGUAACGCGUAGGAAUCUACCCGGUAGUGGGGGACAACUUGGGGAAACUCAAGCUAAUACCGCAUACGCCCUAUGGGGGAAAGCGGGGGACCUUCGGGCCUCGCGCUAUCGGAUGAGCCUGCGUUGGAUUAGCUAGUUGGUGGGGUAAUGGCUCACCAAGGCGACGAUCCAUAGCUGGUCUGAGAGGAUGAUCAGCCACACUGGGACUGAGACACGGCCCAGACUCCUACGGGAGGCAGCGGUGGGGAAUAUUGCGCAAUGGGCGAAAGCCUGACGCAGCCAUGCCGCGUGUGUGAAGAAGGCCCUAGGGUUGUAAAGCACUUUCAAUUGGGAGGAAAAGCUGCUGGUUAAUAGCCAGUAGCCCUGACGUUACCUUUAGAAGAAGCACCGGCUAACUCCGUGCCAGCAGCCGCGGUAAUACGGAGGGUGCGAGCGUUAAUCGGAAUUACUGGGCGUAAAGCGCGCGUAGGCGGUUUGUUAAGUCGGAUGUGAAAUCCCCGGGCUCAACCUGGGAACUGCAUCCGAUACUGGCCGACUAGAGUACGAGAGAGGGAGGUAGAAUUCCACGUGUAGCGGUGAAAUGCGUAGAUAUGUGGAGGAAUACCGGUGGCGAAGGCGGCCUCCUGGCUCGAU
rnacentral:rRNA from 1 species